UCUGCCUGAUUCAGAUAGAGAAAGAUCAUCACGUUAUAGAAUAAAGUUAAUAAGUGGAACCUGAACAUUAAUAGUAACUUUCACCGUUUGAGCAUGGUCUGGACUUUAAGUUCACUUGGAAAUCCUCUAUAAGUCAUUGGUCACGGUGGGAAAUAAGAUUAACCCAUCAGGAUCACGUUACGAUCUAUAAUUACAUCUUCAUUUACACUCCGACUCCGUGUUGUUCAUGAUCAGGUGAUUUGUAGGAUUUAGAAAUCCGUCUCCACAUUUUGAGUGAGUUUUAUGAACACGGUUACGUCCCUACACGCACCUCAGACAAGAUUUUUCACUUUAUUCGGUUUAUUCUAAUUCUGUAACCUUGACAACACUGUGACGUCAUGGCUCAGCCAGCAAUAAAACGUUCUACUCAGCUGAAGUGGUCUUUGGUUUCUACAGACAGAUCACUGAGAGAUUUGUUUCUGCACGACAGAACGAUUUUCAAAAAUGAGGAGGAAUCACAAAGAGACACCUCUGCAUCAAGCUGCACAUGGAAAAAAUAGCAUGCACUCUAUGGCAAAGCAGAACAUCCGCUUAGUUGCCAUUAACACAACUAGAAAUACAUUAGUCUAUCCCGUAAAGAUAAUAGAAUUUGAACGGGCAGGUGCUGGACCUCCAGCAAAGAGCCCUAGGAAACCAAAACUUCUUCCCAGAACGCCCAGAAAGGAUCCGAUUGGUCUUCCCCCAUUCAGAGCACUGAUGCACAAGGAAAAAGUAAGCAAAACAUCUGGCAAUCCUCAGGUACAUUGGGAAAAAGGCAUGUGCACUAUGACAAAGCAGAACAUCUGCUCACCUAUCAUUAACACAACCAGAAAGAAAUCAAUCUACCCCAUAAAGAUCAUAGAUGUAUUUGAACAAACAGGUGCUGGACCUGCAGCAAAGAGCCCUGGGAAAUCAAAACUUCUUCCAAGAAAGGAUCCAAUUGGGCUUCCCCCAUUCAGAGCACCAGUGCGUGGGGAAAAGUUAAGCAAAACAUCCAGAAAUCCUCAGGCACUUACAGGUCCUACAGAGGUAAAGAGUAAGCCUCUUGAGGCUACAAUUGAGGUAGAUCCUCAAUUAAGAACCAAAAUUACUGAUGCUGUCCUGGAUUGCAUAAUCUCUACAUCAUUCAAGAAUCAGUUCAUUCAGCGCAUUGUGGGUGAGAUUGAUGAUAUACUAGCAAAAGCCGCAUCCCAGGUCCACGAGAAACAGCAUGCCAUGAGUUUCGGUACAGCAGGAGAUAAGACAAACAUCUCCCGGGAACAACAAUCGAGCAACAAUGUUUUCAGGCCUGGCUUCAGUGAUGGUGUGGCAUCUGUGCUUGGUUAUGCACUGAUAGAAGUUAGAGAAGAUGUAAAAAAAACUUUUAGAAGCCAGUCACACAAAUUUCAGACAAUCUCACCCACGGCAUGCGAUUCUGUAACAGGAAUAGUGGACAAUGUCUUUGAAAGCAUGCUUGAUUCCUUGAUUCCUCAACUGAAACCAGAUGUUUGCAUUGAAAGGGAUCCUAGCAUGACUGAUUCUCUUUAUAGUCAUGAGUUUGAUACAGUGUUUGAUAGGAUCCUUCGCAGCACUGACUCAGAUUUCAACCAGAGUCCAGUCCAUGAACCAAGAGGAAGUGAUCAUGAGUCUAGCGUCACAACUCAGGACAUUGAGACAUUAGACAUUGUGAAAGAGAGAGCUGACUCCCCAAGAAGAUCUACCAAAGUCCUGUUCUCCACAGUAUUUGACCAGUCUUCUGGACUGGAAGUUAAGGCCAAAGAUGAGGUUGAAGAUUCUGGAAGCAUGAGCCACCUUGAUGACCCUCAGACUUCAAGAGUCAAAUCUGACUCAGAUUCAGAUACAAGCGUUCUUGAGGUCACUGCUACUUCUGCAACAGAACAUGUUGACCACAUGUCAAGAUCUGAUGAAGUAGCAGAAGAAGGACUUGUGGCUAAAUCAGAUGUUGAGCUUGAGCAAAUCAUGGCUGCUCCUUCUGAGGAAAACACUCCUUCUGACAAAACUUCCCAAAGCCUUGAGCUGAUUGGACACCAGGAAUGUGCUAGCCUUGUCCCUUCACCACCUUCUAGUGUUAAGCCAGCCUCCCCAAGAGGAUCUGCCAGGAGAAGGGUACGUCCUAUAAAAGCCAACUCUUUGCCAAACAUAUUCUCUGAUGAAGAAGAUGGCAUCUUUGACCAGUGUCACCAAAAGGUAGAGAGUGAUGGCAAGCAUAGACUUUCUCUGCCUGGAAUGGAAAUGGGUUCUUCUGGAAGCAGAAGUCGCCUUGAUGAGCCUCAGUUCAUCUGAAUCUUCCGACGUUGAAGAAGCUGCAGCAAAAUCAGCUGGAUACAAAACAGUACAAUGUUGAAAUUAUUUUAAGGUGUAAUUUGCAGUUGUAGUUUUUCAUGAAGAAGUCAGCCAGCAACAGUCAGGAGGAGACUGUGGAUAGUGGAGGUGGGAUAUGAACAGGCUGGAAACCCCCACAGAUGCCUUGUCCUUCAGCAGAGGGAAGGUUUGAAAUUAUGACCCUGUGCCAUGCAUGGGGUUUAUUCAUGUAAAAACUCAGGUUGCUGGUUCUGCCAUCCUUAUGGAGGAUGCUAAAAACAUGAGGGGUUGUUGUGUCAGACCACUGCAGCGCAUUGCUAGGCUCAAGAACAAUUUAUUCAAACAAUUUACAAACAAUUCAUUCAAUCAUCUACAUAUUUGUCCUGGUCAGAGUCACGGUAGUCUCACAAGUCAGACUUUUAGCUAAACCAUUAAGUGGCAUGUUUUCAAGAGGUGGGAGAAAACUGGAGAACCUGUAGGAAACCCACAGAGGCCCAAGAGGAACCGUGAAACUGCAAAAGUGACCACAAUCCAGCAUUGAACCUACAACCCUUGGAACAUGAUGUAAUAACUGUGGCGACAGGCCGGUGGCCGGCACACAGGAAACAAAGAUCACUCCUCCCACGACUGCUGCGGUGGCGCUGAAGAGACAGCGCCGCUUCAGCACCACCAAGGUUUUGGACUGCCAGAGAGCACUUGGCGGCAGGGCGGGGCUGCCAACACACCCAUGGCUCGUGAAUGGUGCACCGCACAGAAAUAAUUCCACCAUCCAGCGGGCAAGGGGAGGAUAUAAAAGGGCGGUAUUCCACUCACAACGAGAGAAGAGGAUCUCCGAGCAUACGAAGUUGACGCGAGUGAAGGCUCCGCCCCCCGGUUGUAACAGAAGACAGCUGAGACCCUCACCGCCAGAUCGCACUUCAACACACACACACACCCACACUCCCCUCACUGUUCGUCUCAAAUAAAGAUCCCUCCACGAAUAACCCUAAAACGGCCUCCUGUGUGUCUGUGCUCAUCCCACCGUGGGCUCAAUUCCACCACAUCGACCCGACUGCCAGCAUGCUGCCGACACUCCAGACCCGCCGAAACCAGUCCAGCGAAGGGAGGAGGCCCCAGCCCGGCCGGCCUACAUGGCCCGGGGCAAGAAGAACGCCCCGGCCGAAGGUAAGUCACACACACCCCCUAACCCACUCUCCUCUGUAUUUCAACAGGUGAGCCAGCAGGGGAACUUCGGCUGGGAGCAGAAGGAGGACGACCGCCUGAAGCAUUGCUGGGCCCAGGUGCGGCAGAUUGACGGGGUCGACCAAAGCCCAGAACACAGGCUACAUACCUCCUACUUUCUAGCCCGGGGAGGCCUGCUAUACCACUGAAUCCAGUGCAGACGGGAAAACGUGGACCUCCUAGUAGUCCCCAGGACCCGAACCCAAACACUGUUACACCUGGCCCAUACCCAUCCGCUCGGGGGCCACCUGGGGGCCCGAAACACCGGAGAAAAACUGAAGGACUGCUUCACCUGGCCGGGGAUGGACGCAGAGGUCCGGGCCUUUUGUCAGCAUUGCCUUCAGUGUCAGCACACCGCCCCAGGAAGCCCCCGCCGGCGCCCCUGAUCCCUCUGCCCAUCAUCAGUGUCCCCUUCGAAAGGAUCAGCAUGGACCUCAUAGGGCUGCUCCCCAAGUCCGCCCAGGGUUACAAGUAUAUACUCGUCAUCGUGGACUACGCGACCCGGUACCCCGAGGCAGUACCACUAGGCAAAGCCACCUCCCGCAACAUCGUCAGAGAACUGGUACUCCUGUUCAGUUGUGUGGGGAUCCCAAAGGACAUUCUGACUGACCAAGGUACGCCUUUUGUGUCCAAGUUAAUGUCUGAUCUGUGUCGGCUGUUACAGGUGAAACAUCUCAAACGUCUGUCUACCACCCGCAAACUGAUGGACUGGUCGAGAGAUUCAACCAGACGCUAAAACAGAUGUUACGCCAGGUGGUAGAUGAGGAAGGAAGGAACUGAGACCUCCUCCUUCCCUAUGUGCUCUUCGCCGUCCAAGAGUGCCCCCAGUCAUCCACGGGUUUCACACCAUUCGAGCUCCUCUUCGGACAGCGACCUCGAGGACUGCUGGACGUGGCUCACGAAGUGUGGGAGGAACAACCGUCCCCAUUCCGCUCGGUCAUUGACUACGUGCAGGAGAUGCAAGAGAAGAUUGACCGGGUAACCCCGAUAGUUCGGGAGCACAUGCGAGCCGCCCAGGAGGCACAGAAAAGGGUGUACAACCAUCCCACGCAGCCUCAGGAGUUCUAACCGGGCGAUCGGGUGCUCCUACUAGUACCCAGUAGCUCCUGCAAGUUCCUGGCCCAGUGGCAAGGCCCGUACACAGUCCUCAAGCGAAAAGGCCCCGUAAACUACCGCCUGCGGCAGCCCGGUAAGCAAGCAGAGGAAAAACUCUACCACUUGAAUCUGCUGAAGAAGCGGGUAGAACAGCGGCGCCAGUAGUAUCAGCGUACGCGGCUCUGGACACAGAUCAUGGCAAGGGUACCUUGGUAGAAUUGGGGGAAGAUCUUACCCCCACACAGAGACAGGAGCUAACAGAGUUGGUGGACCAAUUUUCUGAUGUGUUCUCUACCUCCCCAGAAAUGACGCAGCUGGUCCACCACGAGAUCAAGACCCGUCCAGGAGUAGUGGUGAGACAGCGGCCCUACCGUGUCCCAGAGGCCUGGCACAAGGCUAUCGAGGAAGAAGUUGGCCGAAUGCUGCGGGACCACAUCAUAGAGGAGUCCAACAGCCCCUGGUCCAGCCCCAUCGUCGUCGUGCCAAAGCUGGAUGGAAGUAUGCGACUUUGUAACGACUUCCGGACGCUGAACCAGGUCUCUGAGUUCGAUAGCUAUCCCCUCCCCCAAGUGGACGACCUCGUGGAGCGACUGGGGAGAGCCCGGUUCAUAAGUACCCUGGACCUAACGAAAGGCUACUGGCAAGUCGGACGCGAGAUCGAAGACGGCCUUCAGCACAGCCACCGGUCACUGGCAGUACCGGGUUCUCCCCUUCAGGCUACAUGGGGCGCCCACUACGUUCCAGCAGCUGAUGGACAUUGUCCUGCGACCCCACCGUAUGUUCACGGCCGCCUACCUAGAUGACGUAGUCAUCCACUCCUCCACUUGGUUGGACCACUUUUUCCACCUGGGGGAGGUUCUGAAGGAGCUCCGGAAGGCCGGGCUGACAGCCAACCCCAAGAAAUGCCACCUAGGGCUGACCAACGCACAGUACCUGGGCUACCGUAUUGGCCGGGGUAUGCUGAAGCCACAAACGAAGAAAGUCGAGGCAGUGAAGGACUACCCCCGACCCACAUCCUCUCAUUGCAGGAUUUCUCUUUCCAGGUCCAGCACCGGGUGGGGACCCACCAUGGGAAUGUAGAUGGCCUCUCACAACAGGAUACACUGUGGGCCCGACACACAACGGCAGUGGGCUCGGAGCUGAGGGGGGGGUACUGUGGCGACAGGCCAGUGGCUGGCACACAGGAAACAAAGAUCGCUCCUCCCGCGACUGGUGAAUGGUGCACCGCACGGAGAGAAUUCCACCAUCCAGCGGGCGAGGGGAGGAUAUAAAAGGGUGGUAUUCCACUCACAACGAGAGAAGAGGAUCUCCGAGCAUAUGAAGUCGACGCGAGUGAAGGCUCCGCCCCCCGGUUGUAACCAAAGACAGCUGAGACCCUCACCACCAGGUCGCACUUCAACACACACACACGCGCACGCGCACCCGCACUCCCCUCACUGUUCGUCUCAAAUAAAGAUCCCUCCACGAAUAACCCUAAAACGGCCUCCUGUGUGUCUGUGCUCAUCCCACCGUGGGCUCAAUUCCACCACAUCGACCAGAUGGACUCGAGACGAGUGAAGGCUCACACACACACACGCACUUCCCUCAUUGUUUGUC